rnacentral:rRNA from 1 species
GACGAACGCUGGCGGCGUGCUUAACACAUGCAAGUCGAACGGAAAGGCCCUGCUUUUGUGGGGUGCUCGAGUGGCGAACGGGUGAGUAACACGUGAGUAACCUGCCCUUGACUUUGGGAUAACUUCAGGAAACUGGGGCUAAUACCGGAUAGGAGCUCCUGCUGCAUGGUGGGGGUUGGAAAGUUUCGGCGGUUGGGGAUGGACUCGCGGCUUAUCAGCUUGUUGGUGGGGUAGUGGCUUACCAAGGCUUUGACGGGUAGCCGGCCUGAGAGGGUGACCGGCCACAUUGGGACUGAGAUACGGCCCAGACUCCUACGGGAGGCAGCAGUGGGGAAUAUUGCACAAUGGGCGGAAGCCUGAUGCAGCAACGCCGCGUGCGGGAUGACGGCCUUCGGGUUGUAAACCGCUUUCGCCUGUGACGAAGCGUGAGUGACGGUAAUGGGUAAAGAAGCACCGGCUAACUACGUGCCAGCAGCCGCGGUGAUACGUAGGGUGCGAGCGUUGUCCGGAUUUAUUGGGCGUAAAGGGCUCGUAGGUGGUUGAUCGCGUCGGAAGUGUAAUCUUGGGGCUUAACCCUGAGCGUGCUUUCGAUACGGGUUGACUUGAGGAAGGUAGGGGAGAAUGGAAUUCCUGGUGGAGCGGUGGAAUGCGCAGAUAUCAGGAGGAACACCAGUGGCGAAGGCGGUUCUCUGGGCCUUUCCUGACGCUGAGGAGCGAAAGCGUGGGGAGCGAACAGGCUUAGAUACCCUGGUAGUCCACGCUGUAAACGGUGGGUACUAGGUGUGGGGUCCAUUCCACGGGUUCCGUGCCGUAGCUAACGCUUUAAGUACCCCGCCUGGGGAGUACGGCCGCAAGGCUAAAACUCAAAGGAAUUGACGGGGCCCCGCACAAGCGGCGGAGCAUGCGGAUUAAUUCGAUGCAACGCGUAGAACCUUACCUGGGUUUGACAUGGAUCGGGAGUGCUCAGAGAUGGGUGUGCCUCUUUUGGGGUCGGUUCACAGGUGGUGCAUGCCUGUCGUCAGCUCGUGUCGUGAGAUGUUGGGUUAAGUCCCGCAACGAGCGCAACCCUUGUUCACUGUUGCCAGCACGUUAUGGUGGGGACUCAGUGGAGACCGCCGGGGUCAACUCGGAGAAAGGUGGGGAUGACGUCAAGUCAUCAUGCCCCUUAUGUCCAGGGCUUCACGCAUGCUACAAUGGCUGGUACAGAGAGUGGCGAGCCUGUGAGGGUGAGCGAAUCUCGGAAAGCCGGUCUCAGUUCGGAUUGGGGUCUGCAACUCGACCUCAUGAAGUCGGAGUCGCUAGUAAUCGCAGAUCAGCAACGCUGCGGUGAAUACGUUCCCGGGGCU